UCUCCGAGUCUCUGAAUUCACU
rnacentral:misc_RNA from 1 species